UUAAAGGUGCAGUACUUGGAUUUUGUUAGCUUUGGACAUAGCCAGGCUAGCUGUUUCCCCCUGUUUCCAGUGUUUGUGCUAAGCUAAGCUA